AAUCAACGCUGGCGGCGUGCCUCAGACAUGCAAGUCGAACGAGAAAGUUCCCUUCGGGGAAUGAGUAAAGUGGCGCACGGGUGAGUAACACGUAGGUAAUCUACCUUCGGGUGGGGAAUAACCCAGGGAAACUUGGGCUAACACCGCAUAAUGCAGCGGCACCACAUGGUGACAGUUGUUAAAGCGGGGGAUUUUAGGACCUCGCGCCUGAAGAGGAGCCUGCGGCGGAUUAGCUUGUUGGUAAGGUAACGGCUUACCAAGGCGACGAUCCGUAGCCGGCCUGAGAGGGCGGUCGGCCACACUGACACUGACAUACGGGUCAGACUCCUACGGGAGGCAGCAGUCGGGAAUUUUGGGCAAUGGGCGAAAGCCUGACCCAGCAACGCCGCGUGAAGGA
rnacentral:rRNA from 1 species